AAAUGCACCUUUUCUAAUAUUUAUAUAAACAUUUUUCUUUUAUUAUAGCCCUGGUUGUGUAACUUUCAGUUGGUGGCGGUUUAAUCGUGAUAAGUGCAGUCACUGUCGUCAUUUGUAUUAUAAAGCGCCGCGCAAGAAAAAGACAAAUGCCAAACAAUAAAAACAAUUCAUACCCAAUGUUGGACGUAGUACCUAACACACACAAAUGUGCAAGUAAUGAUCCUACUUACGGCAUAACUGACACAAAUAUGUAUGAAGGCCUUGACAGGCGUGGAAAAGCUUCAUCGGAAGAUCUGUACCAGCAGCUUGGUUAUAUCAAUCGAGAUAUUAUGUCUGCACAUCUAGAAAGUCAAUAUGUAAAUACUGGUACAUGUUAUUAACAAUCACAUACGGACAGACGAGAGUGUAGCAAAGAUAACAAUUAUGAAAACGUAACUCAAAUGCAUCCAUCAAAUGAAUAUGAAAGUUUGUAAACUAAUGCAAUAGAGAGAAUGCAUCAAUUGAGAAAAUAGAAAAAGAUAACGUAAUGCUAAAUACUUUCAUUCUGUGGACAAAAUGUUAAAGUGUAAGCCUUAUCCGGUAAUCACCAUGUACUUGUAAAAUGGAUUUCAUGAUGUUUAUUCGCUGUAAAUAGAUUUCCUUGUAACAAAGCUCAUAUUUCAUCCUUUCUUUAAUAAGAUAAAGUUGAUACAAUUUAACAGUCAGGAGAUUGGAUAGAUACGGGAUGGUAUUCCUUGAAUAUCUUUACCCGUGUGUUAUUGAUGUUAAGAUGACGUCU